UACAUGGGGUGCAAACGUUGCUCGGAAUUAUUGGGCGUAAAGCGCACGUAGGUGGUCUGUUAAGUCGAACGUGAAAUCCCCGGGCUCAACCCGGGAACUGCGUCCGAUACUGGCAGGCUUGAAUCCGGGAGAGGGAUGCGGAAUUCCAGGUGUAGCGGUGAAAUGCGUAGAUAUCUGGAGGAACACCGGUGGCGAAGGCGGCAUCCUGGACCGGCAUUGACGCUGAGGCGCGAAAGCCAGGGGAGCAAACGGC
rnacentral:rRNA from 1 species